UGUCAGCAGGUGGCGCAAGGUGAAAAAUCUGAAAAUGUCAGUCGACCUAUUUCGUUUCUUUAAAAGGUCUCCCACAUUUCUAUUUCUUCUAUUUGUCCAUUUAAUAAUUGUUAUCGUUACGAUGUCUUUCUAUCCUUAUUUUAUUCGAUAAAACGAUUUUGAUCCAAUACACAUUGACUUAACCUCUUGUUCCUACAGAAGAUUAUAUUGCAUUGUCCGUCCAACUUCAAGAUAAAAAACUUAUACUCGAUAUUAAUAUCAAGUCUUUUUACAAUCGCAUUCGUUUAAAGGUUUUAUAAAUUUAUUAUGUUCUAUGUAAUAAUGUUCUUAUGCUCUCUUGAUUUCAUUGAUGAAACGUCAUAGAAAGAUUCUUAACGUUGAAUGUAGAAUCUUUUAUUCGACAUGCAUUAGACGUAAAAAGCAUUUUCUCAAAGUGAAGAGUCUAUAUUUAUUGUAAAUGCAGAUUUUUAGAAAACAUUUCGUUUCUAUUAGCAAGAAAGAGAAAUUUUAACGAAUACGUGAUGGUAGAAAAUCUUUUUAUAAUCAUUAUCGUUUGAAAACUAUGAACUUAAGAUCGCAAUGACAAUUUUUAUCUUAUAGUUUCUCUAUGCGAUUUCAUUGAUUACACAUCGUUAAGAUAUUCUUCUCAUCGAAUAUGCAGGAAAACUUUUUACUAAGAUCAAGCUGCAGUGCGCUUUGUUUUUAAAAUAUUUUAUAAAUAUUCCAUUGUGUGCGUGUAAAAAUGAAAAAUAUUUUCAGUGAA